GGCAAGAUGGCCGAGCGGUCUAAGGCGCCACGUUAAGGUAUUACCUUGAUUAUCAUUCUCCCUCUCUCAUGAGUCAGAAUUCCGUGGUCCGAAAGGGCGUGGGUUCGAAUCCCACUCUUGUCA